rnacentral:rRNA from 1 species
CCAAGCUUGCUUGGWGGAUCAGUGGCGAACGGGUGAGUAACACGUGAGCAACCUGCCCUGGACUCUGGGAUAAGCGCUGGAAACGGCGUCUAAUACUGGAUAUGAGCUCCUAUCGCAUGGUGGGGGUUGGAAAGAUUUUUCGGUCUGGGAUGGGCUCGCGGCCUAUCAGCUUGUUGGUGAGGUAAUGGCUCACCAAGGCGUCGACGGGUAGCCGGCCUGAGAGGGUGACCGGCCACACUGGGACUGAGACACGGCCCAGACUCCUACGGGAGGCAGCAGUGGGGAAUAUUGCACAAUGGGCGGAAGCCUGAUGCAGCAACGCCGCGUGAGGGAUGACGGCCUUCGGGUUGUAAACCUCUUUUAGCAGGGAAGAAGCGAGAGUGACGGUACCUGCAGAAAAAGCCCCGGCUAACUACGUGCCAGCAGCCGCGGUAAUACGUAGGGCGCAAGCGUUAUCCGGAAUUAUUGGGCGUAAAGAGCUCGUAGGCGGUUUGUCGCGUCUGCUGUGAAAUCCCGAGGCUCAACCUCGGGCCUGCAGUGGGUACGGGCAGACUAGAGUGCGGUAGGGGAGAUUGGAAUUCCUGGUGUAGCGGUGGAAUGCGCAGAUAUCAGGAGGAACACCGAUGGCGAAGGCAGAUCUCUGGGCCGUAACUGACGCUGAGGAGCGAAAGGGUGGGGAGCAAACAGGCUUAGAUACCCUGGUAGUCCACCCCGUAAACGUUGGGAACUAGUUGUGGGGACCAUUCCACGGUUUCCGUGACGCAGCUAACGCAUUAAGUUCCCCGCCUGGGGAGUACGGCCGCAAGGCUAAAACUCAAAGGAAUUGACGGGGACCCGCACAAGCGGCGGAGCAUGCGGAUUAAUUGAUGCAACGCGAAGAACCUUACCAAGGCUUGACAUACACCAGAACACCGUAGAAAUACGGGACUCUUUGGACACUGGUGAACAGGUGGUGCAUGGUUGUCGUCAGCUCGUGUCGUGAGAUGUUGGGUUAAGUCCCGCAACGAGCGCAACCCUCGUUUAUGUUGCCAGCACGUAAUGGUGGGAACUCAUGGGAUACUGCCGGGGUCAACUCGGAGGAAGGUGGGGAUGACGUCAAAUCAUCAUGCCCCUAUGUCUUGGGCUUCACGCAUGCUACAAUGGCCGGUACAAAGGGCUGCAAUACCGUGAGGUGGAGCGAAUCCCAAAAAGCCGGUCCCAGUUGGAUUGAGGUCUGCAACUCGACCUCAUGAAGUCGGAGUCGCUAGUAAUCGCAGAUCAGCAACGCUGCGGUGAAUACGUUCCCGGGUCUUGUACACACCGCCCGUCAAGUCAUGAAAGUCGGUAACAU